rnacentral:rRNA from 1 species
GAAGGCCCAGACAGCCAGGAUGUUGGCUUAGAAGCAGCCAUCAUUUAAAGAAAGCGUAAUAGCUCACUGGUCGAGUCGGCCUGCGCGGAAGAUGUAACGGGGCUAAACCAUGCACCGAAGCUGCGGCAGCGAACGUAUCACCCAAGACAACUUUACGGAGUUGACGAUUGACGGAGCGAAGCGACGUCAAAGCGUUCAUUAAAGUCGAGUUGGCUUAGGGAUACGUUCGUUGGGUAGGGGAGCGUUCUGUAAGCCUGUGAAGGUGUGUCGUGAGGCAUGCUGGAGGUAUCAGAAGUGCGAAUGCUGACAUAAGUAACGAUAAAGCGGGUGAAAAGCCCGCUCGCCGGAAGACCAAGGGUUCCUGUCCAACGUUAAUCGGGGCAGGGUGAGUCGACCCCUAAGGCGAGGCCGAAAGGCGUAGUCGAUGGGAAACGGGUUAAUAUUCCCGUACUUGGUGUUACUGCGAAGGGGGGACGGAGAAGGCUAUGUUGGCCGGGCGACGGUUGUCCCGGUUUAAGCGUGUAGGUGUGUGUUCCAGGUAAAUCCGGUUCACUUUAACACUGAGGCGUGACGACGAGGCACUACGGUGCUGAAGCAACAAAUGCCCUGCUUCCAGGAAAA